UCCGCAGGCGGGCAAUUAAGUCAGAGGUGAAAUCCCACAGCUCAACUGUGGAACUGCCUUUGAUACUGGUUGUCUUGAGUUAUAGUGAAGUAGAUAGAAUAUGUAGUGUAGCGGUGAAAUGCAUAGAUAUUACAUAGAAUACCGAUUGCGAAGGCAGUCUACUAACUGUAUACUGACGCUAAUGGACGAAAGCGUGGGGAGCGAACAGGAUUAGAUACCCUGGUAGUCC
rnacentral:rRNA from 1 species